ensembl:lncRNA
GUCUUCCUUGGAUGUUCUGAAUCAGCUCAGAUGGACGAAUGGCGCCAUGGAAGAGCUGGAGGCUGCACUUGGAUGGAACCAGCCCCUGUUCCUCAGCUGGAAACAUAGGGAGGUCAGCUGUCAGCUGGGCACCAGACUGGACACUGAGGGGCCUUGAAUGACAGACCAAAGGUUGGAAAAUGCAGUACAAUUGCCUUUUUGGAGGUAUACCUCUAUGCAUAUUAACAGCGUAUACGUGGGUGUGAGCGCUUCUACCCUCAGGACACAGAACAGUCCCCCAGGCAAAAAUGUCCCAUGCCACUUUGUCAUCCACAUCUUCUCCCCCCACCCUUGACUCUUAACAACUAUACUUUUGUCUGUUCGAGAAUAUCAUGUAAAUAAAAGAAAUUAUGCUGAGA